rnacentral:rRNA from 1 species
GAUUAUGGCUCAGGAUGAACGCUAGCGACAGGCUUAACACAUGCAAGUCGAGGGCAGCGCGAGGUAGCAAUACCUUGGCGGCGACCGGCGCACUGGUGAGUAACACGUAUGCGACCUGCCCCGGACAGGGGGAUAAACCCGGGAAACUGGGCCUAAUACCCCAUAUGCCAAGGGACCGCAUGGUCUCCUGGUGAAAGAUCCGUCGGUCCGGGAUGGGCAUGCGGCGCAUUAGCUUGUUGGCGGGGCGACGGCCCACCAAGGCGACGAUGCGUAGGGGUUCUGAGAGGAAGGUCCCCCACACUGGUACUGAGACACGGACCAGACUCCUACGGGAGGCAGCAGUGAGGAAUAUUGGUCAAUGGACGCGAGUCUGAACCAGCCCAAGUCGUGUGCGGGAUGAAGGCCCUCCGGGUCGUAAACCGCUUUAGCCGGGGAGUAACGUGGGGGACGGGUCCCUCAGUGAGAGUACCCGGAGAAUAAGCAUCGGCUAACUCCGUGCCAGCCGCCGC